rnacentral:lncRNA from 1 species
UGAUAUAAAAUAAUUUAUGUCACUUUGCCUGAAAGAAAAAAUGAAAAUUAAUUGUUACCAAUAGGGAACAGAGAAUGUUUCCCAGUGGAAGGAUUUUGAAUUGCAUCUUAAAGAAAGUGUAAGGGUUCAGAAGAUGAAUAAAAAGGAGAAAAGGCCCUUCAACUUUGAAGAUACCUUAAAGCAAAGCAACAAAUUAUCCAAGUGCAUAAAUGUGUAAUGUGAGUGGGAUGUUUAUGUCAUAAGUGGCCACAUACACAAAAUUUAGGUUUAGGUAAUAUAAAACUUCUUACAAAUAUUUAGUCCUUGCAACGUACCAGGCAUUGGGCAUCACCAUUCACUUUGAUUGACUGCCAAUCCACUGUAUUUUCUGAGUAUGUUUAUCCUUUCAUUCCCUAAGUAUUUUAUCUCUCUUCAAGCCUCAGACAUUUAACACAUCCUUUCCCCUUAUAUUCUUAAUUCUUAUAUUAAUAGGAAAAUAGAAGCAAUCAGAAGUGAAAUUAAUUUUACUUCCACCAUAUCUACUAAUCCUUCCACUUACCUCUCCAUGUUCUAUCUUUAACAUUUUUUUUUAAGUUCAGGGGUACCCUUGCAGGUUUGUUAUAUAGGUAAACUCAUGUCAUGGGCGUUUGUUUUACAGAUUAUUUCAUCACCCAGGUGGAAAGCCUCAUACUCAUCGGUUAUUUUUUCUGAUCUUCUAGAUCAUCCACCUUCAGAUCUAAGAAAAGUUGUUGACUUUUCAGCAUCUUCAGAGUGUUACUUAUCAGCAUGAAGCAGUGACUUCUAAGGAUCUGACAUGCAGGACUGGAAACCAGAAGUUCCCUCUACAUUUUCUUUAAAAUAUAAUUCUUUUGUAUCAUAGUGCUCUAGACAUUUGAAAACAUAUUUUAUCUUCUGUUCUUUAGUUUGAAAACUUUUAAUGACUAGAUAUUCCCAGUAUCUGUAACUAACUCUUCCAUAGAGAGAAUUUUUUGUUAUACUUUCACCAUCCUUGUUAUAUCCUUUAUAGUAUAUUUCUGUGUGUAUGAAUGUAUUUCUGUGUGUGUGAAAUGUAAGACAUAUAUAUAUAUAUAUAUCACAUUACAUGAUAUACAUAGAGAUAGAGAGAUACAUAGAUAGAUAAAUAGAUAGAUAUCACAUCAUUCUGGAAGUAGUUGAGCAACUGACAGGAAAAGGCCCAUCUCAUUCUUUAAUCAAGAGAUUACAGUAAUGUAAUAUAAUAUAUGACUACACUGACAUUUUUGUAAUUGAAAUUCACAUUGAAUUUCUUUACUUUUCAUCGAUAAGGUACUACUCUAUUGCAUUUGAGUUUUUAGAUGUGAAUGUCUAUUGCAUGUCAUCUUGCAAAAUAUGGCUCACCACUCUUAUUUAUUAAGAGGGGUUUGAAACAUGAUUUUAUCAUACUAUAAAUUAAGUUCUUUUUUUUCCUUGAUGGAUGUCAUUUUCCAUUGAUGUUAUUGAUAGUGAACAAAACGUAUUCAAGGGCAAAACUCUGUGAAAUGUUUUACAGACUGACAUUUGUCCUCUACCCAACAUUAUUUGAAUACUACUAUUCAAUCAGUUUAAAAAUCCAUCUAAUUGAAAUAACAUCCAACCCUACUUGAGCUUUAAUCUCAUGAAAACGUCUUAUUAAAUUAAAUUUGUUUAAUGCAUUUCCCUUAUCAACCAAUCUAGAAAUUAUUUUAAAAUACAUUUUAUAAGAUUUCUUACUGAGGAAGAACCAAUCAGGCACACAGAUUCUGAUCAUUCUAACCCAGGUUUUAAUUUAAGCAAAUUUUACAUCUAUAAGUGGUUCAUAUCAUCAUAGUCUGUCUCUAUUUUCUGGGUUACAACAGCAAAAAGAUGAAUUAGUCCCCUUAUUAAUUGAUAUUGAAUUUCUACAACAAACAUAGUGUAAACAUUCAUUUUCUUUUAAAUUUGCUCAAUUAGGACCCACAAGUUCCAUAGAAAAUUCUUUGGAAUCCUGUAACAAAUAGGUAUUUCUGAAGUAGGUAUUUCUGGUAUCAUGGCAAUAGAUUUCUAUAAAGAUAUGGCACUUAUAGCACCUUAUAUAUAGACUAUUCAAUACUCAAAUCCCCAAGUACAGAAACUUAACAACAUAAACAUAUUUGAAAAUAUAUUUUAAACUAUAUAAAAAUCUUCCUACAUUUUUCAAUUUGAACGAAGUUUAGCAGAGUUCCUCUUUCAUUGUUUAAGAAGGUGUGCUAUUAUAUUUUGCCUGCUAACAUUCUACAUUUUUAUGCUGAUGUGUCUAAAUAUAAGCAAGACUACACUGGGAAGGAACACAAAGGAAUUAUCAGGAGGAUAUAAAUAUAAACAAGCAAAGCACAUACAUAAUCAACAUACUUGUUUGAAUUUAUAUGUAAUCACCAAACGGACACAGUAAAGCUGAAAUCACAAUUUCACAGAAAAACAAGAU